rnacentral:lncRNA from 1 species
CGCUGAUGAAGGGAAUUGUGUGUGUGUUAUCGUGUACGUUGUCCUAGUCCCGUCCCCAUGUCAUUAAAGCCCCUCUGUGGUCAUUGUGCCAUCACUGU